rnacentral:lncRNA from 1 species
ACAGAAAGGAACUAUUUUGGGUUCAGUGUUCAAAGAUAAUACUAGACAUAGUUGCUCGGAUGUACAAAUAUGGAUCGUACGCAAUUGGGGUAGAAUUUUUUUUACCUCUCUUUGCACCUCUUCGGAUGGUAAACAAACGACUGCAGUGUCAUGUUCGGCCUGAUGUCAUUCAUACCAAAAUUAUUUGGGGACAUUCAGUGUGGACAAAAUGUGUUGUCAGAUACUGACCAAUUAUGGGCCGGCUCAGGCCGAUGAUAUAUUGUCCAGCAAUUUUGCGCAUGUUUAGUUGUAAUGCGUGGUCCUCACCAACACAGUGACCAGGUAAAAAAAAACCCACACCUUUCGGCUAAAUUACUCACGAGGUUUCACAACGUAUUUUAACUAAAACUAGCGUAUGUGGAAAGAAAAUACACUCUAAGUGCCCAUGAAAUGUGAAUUGUUAAGUAGGAUUGGAUCCACCAUUUAUGUAAUAAAAAUCCUUCAUAUGAUAAAAUACAUAUCCAUGAACUGUUCUCCCUUGAGUUGGUGCAUGUAACAUACAUGCAGAUUGCUAAGGCCGCAUCCUAGUAGAAACAAUCAAAUAAACUAAUUAGUAAUCUAAAAUUCUCAGUCAAUUUGAAGAAAUUCAUCAACAUAAGCCCAACAAGUGCUUGUUCAAAUGGAUCACCCAUAGCAGUCUGGUUGGAAUCAACACCAUUGGGUGAGAUGGGUAUAGGGUAGGUUGGAAUCAACGCCAUGAAGUGAGAUGUGAGAUGGCUAUAGGGUAGAAAUGAUGGAAGUCAGCCACUCCUAAUCUCAAUAAAAUAAUUAGAAUAAAUACUUAUUUAAAAUAUAUGAC